GGAAGCUCGCUUUCCGAUAGGCGUCGACCGGCGCACGGGUGAGUAACGCGUAUCCAACCUGCCCAUCACUUGGGGAUAACCUUGCGAAAGUAAGACUAAUACCCAAUGAUAUCUCUAGAAGACAUCUGAAGGAGAUUAAAGAUUUAUCGGUGAUGGAUGGGGAUGCGUCUGAUUAGCUUGUUGGCGGGGUAACGGCCCACCAAGGCUACGAUCAGUAGGGGUUCUGAGAGGAAGGUCCCCCACAUUGGAACUGAGACACGGUCCAAACUCCUACGGGAGGCAGCAGUGAGGAAUAUUGGUCAAUGGACGAGAGUCUGAACCAGCCAAGUAGCGUGCAGGAUGACGGCCCUAUGGGUUGUAAACUGCUUUUAUAAGGGAAUAAAGUGAGCCUCGUGAGGCUUUUUGCAUGUACCUUAUGAAUAAGGACCGGCUAAUUCCGUGCCAGCAGCCGCGGUAAUACGGAAGGUCCGGGCGUUAUCCGGAUUUAUUGGGUUUAAAGGGAGCGUAGGCCGGAGAUUAAGCGUGUUGUGAAAUGUAGAUGCUCAACAUCUGCACUGCAGCGCGAACUGGUUUCCUUGAGUACGCACAAAGU
rnacentral:rRNA from 1 species